rnacentral:rRNA from 1 species
UGGGGAAUUUUGGACAAUGGGCGAAAGCCUGAUCCAGCAAUGCCGCGUGUGUGAAGAAGGCCUUCGGGUUGUAAAGCACUUUUGUCCGGAAAGAAAUCCUCUGGGUUAAUACCUCGGGGGGAUGACGGUACCGGAAGAAUAAGCACCGGCUAACUACGUGCCAGCAGCCGCGGUAAUACGUAGGGUGCAAGCGUUAAUCGGAAUUACUGGGCGUAAAGCGUGCGCAGGCGGUUUUGUAAGACGGAUGUGAAAUCCCCGGGCUUAACCUGGGAACUGCAUUCGUGACUGCAAGGCUAGAGUAUGGCAGAGGGGGGUAGAAUUCCACGUGUAGCAGUGAAAUGCGUAGAGAUGUGGAGGAAUACCGAUGGCGAAGGCAGCCCCCUGGGCCAAUACUGACGCUCAUGCACGAAAGCGUGGGGAGCAAACAGGAUUAGAUACCCUGGUAGUCCACGCCCUAAACGAUGUCAACUAGUUGUUGGGGAUUCAUUUCCUUAGUAACGUAGCUAACGCGUGAAGUUGACCGCCUGGGGAGUACGGCCGCAAGAUUAAAACUUAAAGGAAUUGAC